rnacentral:misc_RNA from 1 species
UGGCUCUCGCAUCGAUGAAGAACGCAGCGAAAUGCGAUAAGUAAUGUGAAUUGCAGAAUUCAGUGAAUCAUCGAAUCUUUGAACGCACCUUGCGCUCCUUGGUAUUCCGAGGAGCAUGCCUGUUUGAGUGUCUUGAAGUCAUCAACCCCUCCCGUCUUUUGUUGCGGUGAGGUCGGUUGGAGCUGGGGGCUUGCGGCCGAAGGGCCGCUCCCCUCGAAUGCUUCGGUUGGGCCCGUGGGUCGACUCGGUAGGGCGUUGUAGCAUCCUCGCUCUCGUUCCGAGGCCUUCCUGCGCUCGUGUGCCCUCCCGCGGACCGCCCCCUCGAGCGGCGGUCAAACGCGAACUUUGAAAUCUGACCUCAAAUCAGGUAGGACUACCCGCUGA